rnacentral:tRNA from 1 species
GGAGAGCUGCCGGAGCGGCCGAUCGGGACGGUCUUGAAAACCGUUGAUGCGCGCUAGCGCAUCCGUGGGUUCGAAUCCCACGCUCUCCGCCA